UAAGAGAUCCUUAACAUCUGUUGGCUGGGCUGGCGAGUUCUUUGCAUGAGAAGCCAUGAGUAGAUUGAGCUGCAGCCUGACAUCUGGAAUGCUCUUUCUAAUUACAGUACUCGCAGAAGGAAGACAGAUAUGAGGAAGAGAUCAAGGUCCUUUCCGACAAGCUGAAGGAGGCUGAGACUCGGGCUGAGUUUGCGGAGAGGUCGGUAACUAAAUUGGAGAAAAGCAUUGAUGACUUAGAAGAUAAGUUUCUUUGCUUCACUUCUCCCAAGACUCCCUCGUCGAGCUGGAUGUCCCACCUCUCUGAGCUCUGCAUUUGUCUGUUCUCCAGCUGACCCUGGUUCUCUCUCUUAGCAUCCUGCCUUAGAGCCAGGCACACACUGUGCUUUCUAUUGUACAGAAGCUCUUCGUUUCAGUGUCAAAUAAACACUGUGUAAGCU
rnacentral:sRNA from 1 species